UCCCAGUGAGCAGCCAGGAUGUCCUAGGA
rnacentral:piRNA from 1 species